rnacentral:rRNA from 1 species
UACGGAGGGUGCAAGCGUUAUCCGGAUUUACUGGGUUUAAAGGGUGUGUAGGCGGCUCUUUAAGUCAGUGGUGAAAUCCUAGUGCUUAACACUAGAAAGUCCAUUGAUACUGAAGAGCUUGAGUCAAGAAGAGGUAAGCAGAAUUUAUGGUGUAGCAGUGAAAUGCUUAGAUAUCAUAAAGAAUACCAAUAGCGAAGGCAGCUUACUGGUCUUGAACUGACGCUGAGGCACGAAAGCGUGGGGAGCAAACAGG